AAUUCCCCACCUUCACACGGCCUACAGCUUAUAUGCACGAGAGACCUUUGGGAAGAAGAUUUUUGGAGUUGUUUAUUCUCCCUGAUUCCUGUCCAUCGAAAAAACUUGAGGAGCUCCAACAGAAAAAGAAGGUAACUUGCUGGACAAAGGAACAAUUCUUAAUUUUGAAGUUUUUAAUUUUUUUAACCUUUUCAAUUUAAUGAAAUUUAAUUUAAAUAU
rnacentral:lncRNA from 1 species